rnacentral:tRNA from 1 species
GUGGGUGUAGCUCAGUUGGUUAGAGCGCUUGCUUGACAUGCAAGAGGUCGUUGGUUCAAAUCCAUUCAUCCACACCA